UACGAGGGGGGCGAGCGUUGUUCGGAAUUAUUGGGCGUAAAGGGUGCGUAGGCGGUUUGGUAAGUCUUGUGUGAAAUCUACAGGCUCAACUUGUAGUCUGCACGAGAAACUGCCGGGCUUGAGUGUGGGAGAGGUGAGUGGAAUUCCUGGUGUAGCGGUGAAAUGCGUAGAUAUCAGGAGGAACACCUAUGGCGAAAGCGGCUCACUGGACCAUAACUGACGCUGAUGCACGAAAGCUAGGGGAGCAAACAGG
rnacentral:rRNA from 1 species